GAUUGCAGAGCAAGGAGAAGAGCAGUUCCUGGCACCAGGGAGAUGCUUCCAGAUCGGCACCGAGCCCUGGGGCUCUCAGCAUUGGCACUUUGGCUCCGCUUCCUGCACCUCUGAGAGUAUUGAGUGGUUCUGCAUUAGCAAAGAUUUGCUCCUGGAAGUAAUGAUAACGCAUAAGGCAUGGAAAGGACAAAGUGUCAACGCUGCCCACUGAUCUAAGAUUGUGUAAAUAAUGUUUCAGACUAUGAAAAUCAAAUUUUAAUACAAUUUGAAUAUGGUUUAAAGCCUGUAUUGGCUCCAGCUGUUGAAAGGAAAAGAAACUGUGCUAAAGCAAAUGAUCAACCAUCCCUGUGCACAGGAGAGGUUGGUUUAUUUCCAGUUUUCUAUUGCUAUGGCAGUUUACUACUUAUUGUCUGGGCUGAAGUUAUUUGUAAAGAUAGCUACCAAGCAGUAUUUGAAUGUCUAUUUUACAAUUGUGUUCUUUCAAGCACUUGCUUGCUUAUACAAAGUAACAUUCAGUAAAGCAAUGUUGAGCUUUAUAUUGUGAUUAGAUCCAUUCACAAGAACACUAUGUGGUGGUUUUCCUCACCUAAGAAUUACUGUUUUUGUAAAAUAGCUCUGAUAGCUGUGUGAACGUUCUCAGUGAAUAUAUUACAGGUUAAUGUUCAUGUAUUGUUUUAGAUCUUGAUUCACACUAAAAUUCAAUAUAACCUCACAAUUGGAGUUUCUGCUCUAAAUGACAAUUUACAAUGAAGUCUUAGGUACUGAGAUUUUAAAAACUUACACCAAAUAACAAUAUCAUAAUCCUCAUAUGCAGAUGUCAGGAAUUCAUGAAGGUAUGGCCUCAUAAGUUCUACUCCAGUUUCAGCACAUGACCUGUGGUCUAAAAAGAAUGAGAGAGAAGCAAUUCAUUAUUCAAUUUAGGAUGUUAAUUAUGACUUUCCUACCUACCCAGAGACCUGAAACAUUUCUUAAGGGAAGCACCGGGGUGAUUUGAAACCAUGAAUGAAUUCACAGCAAACUACUAUUCCCACAUUAAAGGUGAGAAAAGUAGAAGGGAUAUUUAUUUGUUGAUCUUCAGGUAUUUGAGAGCUUGCUUAAUAUAUGAGAGCUGAGGGUCUGAAUAUCUUUGAAGAGUCUGGACAUAUAGUUCAUCUAUGCACUUUAGCAAAUUUCUAAGUGCCCAGAUACUGAACAGAGAUUUUUGUAAACUCUGUCCAGUUAAUCUUGUGAAUGUGUAUCAAAUCUUUUUCAAAUGUGCAAACAUUGCCCGUUCCAAUUAGAAAACUGCUGUCAGAUUCUUCUAGCAGGAGAUGUGUAAAUAAAAAUGUUGAGUAAUAGGUUGAAUUCUCAUUUUGGAUCAUAAAUGAAACUUACAAAAAAGUAAGGAAAGGAAAAAGGCAAGUUAUUAUUUACUGGUUAUAGUCAAACUGCCAUGACACACCCAGAUCCCAGAAAAUGAAGUCAGAAGGGAAAUUCUGGCUAAGAAAACCAGUUAGACAGAAUUUUCAGGUAAAACGUGGUUUUGUACAUGUUUAACAACCUGGAAAUACAAUUAGAAGCUAUUCUCCCACCCCAAAAAAGGAAUCAAUCAUGUACAGAAAGACAAUUAAUUUACAGCAGUAGCUUGUCCUGACGCCAUGAUAUCUAACACACAAGCUGGCCAAGAGAGUUUAGAAUUUUAUCCAAGUAACCUAUUUUUGCAUCAUCUUAGAGAAAGUAAAUAGUUGUUACACUAAAAUCAACGUUAUACAACAUUUAAAAAGCCUGAUUCUUUUUACGAUAUGAGCAGAGGACCCCAAAAAUGUUAUGAAGCUGAAGCUAUACAAUACAAUGCAGGCCAAAGUUACGGAAAUGGCUUCAUAAAGCAAAAAUCAGUAAAUGUGAACUGGCAAAUGAACAGCCCUCUUAAAACCCACAAGUUGCAUAAAAUCUCA